GGUAGAGGGGUAGUGGAAAUUUCCUGUGUAGCGGUGAAAAUGCGUAGAUAUAGGAAGGAACACCAGUGGCGAAGGCGGCUACCUGGACCAACACUGACACUGAGGUGCGAAAGCGUGGGGAGGCAAAACAGGAUUAGAUACCCUGGUAGUCCACGGCCGUAAACGAUGUCAACUAGCCGUUGGGACUCUUGAAGUCUUAGUGGCGCAGCUAACGCACUAAGUUGACCGCCUGGGGAGUACGGCCGCAAGGUUAAAACUCAAAUGAAUUGACGGGGGCCCGCACAAGCGGUGGAGCAUGUGGUUUAAUUCGACGCAACGCGAAGAACCUUACCUGGCCUUGACAUCCAGAGAACUUUCCAGAGAUGGAUUGGUGCCUUCGGGAACUCUGAGACAGGUGCUGCAUGGCCGUCGUCAGCUCGUGUCGUGAGAUGUUGGGUUAAGUCCCGUAACGAGCGCAACCCCUAUCCCUGGUUGCUAGCAGGUAAUGCUGAGAACUCCAGGGAGACUGCCGGUGACAAACCGGAGGAAGGUGGGGAUGACGUCAGGUCAUCAUGGCCCUUACGGCCAGGGCUACACACGUGCUACAAUGGCGCGUACAGAGGGCUGCCAACUCGCGAGAGUGAGCCAAUCCCUUAAAACGCGUCGAAGUCCGGAUCGGAGUCUGCAACUCGACUCCGUGAAGUCGGAAUCGCUAG
rnacentral:rRNA from 1 species